rnacentral:rRNA from 1 species
GACGAACGCUGGCGGCGUGCCUAAUACAUGCAAGUUGAGCGCUGAAGGUUGGUACUUGUACCAACUGGAUGAGCAGCGAACGGGUGAGUAACGCGUGGGGAAUCUGCCUUUGAGCGGGGGACAACAUUUGGAAACGAAUGCUAAUACCGCAUAAAAACUUUAAACACAAGUUUUAAGUUUGAAAGAUGCAAUUGCAUCACUCAAAGAUGAUCCCGCGUUGUAUUAGCUAGUUGGUGAGGUAAAGGCUCACCAAGGCGAUGAUACAUAGCCGACCUGAGAGGGUGAUCGGCCACAUUGGGACUGAGACACGGCCCAAACUCCUACGGGAGGCAGCAGUAGGGAAUCUUCGGCAAUGGACGAAAGUCUGACCGGGCAACGCCGCGUGAGUGAAGAAGGUUUUCGGAUCGUAAAACUCUGUUGGUAGGGAAGAACGUUGGUGAGAGUGGAAAGCUCAUCAAGUGACGGUAACUACCCAGAAAGGGACGGCUAACUACGUG